rnacentral:rRNA from 1 species
AGCGAACGCUGGCGGCAGGCCUAACACAUGCAAGUCGAGCGCCCCGCAAGGGGAGCGGCAGACGGGAGAGUAACACGUGGGAACGUACCCUUCAGUUCGGAACAACCAAGGGAAACUUUGGCUAAUACCGAAUACGUCCGUAAGGAGAAAGAUUUAUCGCUGAAGGAUCGGCCCGCGUCUGAUUAGCUAGUUGGUGGGGUAAUGGCCCACCAAGGCGACGAUCAGUAGCUGGUCUGAGAGGAUGAUCAGCCUCACUGGGACUGAGACACGGCCCAGACUCCUACGGGAGGCAGCAGUGGGGAAUAUUGGACAAUGGGCGCAAGCCUGAUCCAGCCAUGCCGCGUGGAUGAUGAAGGCCCUAGGGUUGUAAAGUCCUUUCGGCGGGGAAGAUAAUGACGGUACCCGCAGAAGAAGCCCCGGCUAACUUCGUGCCAGCAGCCGCCGCCG